rnacentral:rRNA from 1 species
GAUGAACGCUGGCGGCGUGCUUAAUACAUGCAAGUCGAACGGGAAACCUUUUCUUGAAGUUUCGGCAGAUUUAGCUGGUUUCUAGUGGCGGACGGGUAAGUCACGCGUGGGUAACCUGCCUUAUACAGGGGGCUAACAGUCAGAAAUGGCUGCUCAUACCGCAUAAGCGCACAGAGCUGCAUGUGUUAGUGUGAUAAAGUCCGGUGGCAUAAGAAGGAACCACCGUGGAUUAGCUGGUUGGUGGGGUAACGGCCCAGCAAGGCGGCGAGCCAUAGCCGGCCUGGGAGGGCGAACCGGCACAUUGGGAGUGGGACACGGACCAGACUCCUACGGAAGGCAGCAGUGGGGAAUAGUGCACAAUGGGGGAGACCAUGAGGCAGCGGCGCCGCGUGGAGGAAGAAGUAUAUAGGUAUGUAAGCUUCUAUCAGCAGGGAAGAUAAUGACGGUACCUGACGAGGAAGCGCCGGCUAACUACGUG